rnacentral:ncRNA from 1 species
UAUGCUAAGUUUAAGCAUAUCAAUAAGCAGAGGAAAAGAAACUUACUAGGAUUCCCCUAGUAACGGCGAGCAAACUAGGAAAAGCCCAACUUGAGAAUUGAGCACCAUCAGCGUUCGAAUUAUAGGCUAGAGAAGCAUCUUUAGUGGCGGGCCGAGCCCAAGUCUCCUAGAAAGGGGCGCCGAAGAGGGUAAGAGCCCCGUCGUGCGCAGACUCUGUCGCACCACGUUGUGCUACCUACGAGUUGGGUUGUUUGGGAAUGCAGCUCUAAUUGAGCGGUAAAUUCUGUCCAAGGCUAAAUACGGGCAAGAGAGCGAUAGGGAACAAGUAUCGCGAGGGAAAUAUGAAAAGGGCUUUGAAAAGAGAGUCAAGGAGUGCUUGGACCAAGCGGAUAGUUUUAGAUUACUCUUUAGGGCUAGAAAAGUCUACUUGUAAGGUUGCAAUUUCAAGUAAACUUGAUCUCCCACCUUAAAUUUACUUUUAUUCCUUUUUUUUAUUUGCAUAAAACUUCAUUCGUUCUUGAGUCUUUUGUAAUUGGGCUAUUAAAAGUUUGCUAACUUGCUUUCUCUCUCUCAUUAACUUGUCAUCUACCGCUUCUUUGGAGCCACUAGAAGUAUCCCAAGCAAACAAGGGGUUGGUAUUUGUAUAAUCCUCAAAAAGGA